ACAAACUGAGCUGUGAACCAUCAAGAUACUGCUCCAACAUAUCAGUAAAAUUUUAACCAGUACGAGAGGGCCAAGGCUUGUUUCAGCGCUCAUAAAACUUCAUCCGUUACCAUGUCAACAGCUUAGAACAUUUAUCACCCCUAACCCAUCUCUAAAACUUCAAUACACUUACUCUUGGCGAAAGUCAUCUUUUUUGCUACAACCGAUCAUGUCGCAUCCACACGUUCGCGCCUAUGUGAAGAGAGUAGCUUCCAUCGACCAAGAAGCUUUCCCAGAUUGGAACCUUUCGCUGUAUCAAGAGACUACAACGUAUAAAACCCCUUAAAAGCAGAGGCAAAAUAAAAGGGAGAUGCGCAAUUUUUUUUAAUAUAAGAGAAAAAAAAAGCUCAUAGAACAGUCACCAAGUUUGGCACAAUUUGGAUGGCUUACACCUUAAUUUUAAACCAUGUGCAGGACUAAACACAGUAAAAGUGAGAUUCAGAAUAUUCCAAGAACGUGAAUGUUAUUAUCAGCAGCGUCAUUAUCAGCAUAACCAUCAUCAUUUGCAUCCCCAUCAUAGUCAUCAUCAUCGUCGCCAUCAUCAUCCUCAUCAUCAUCAUCGCCAUCCUUGCAGCCAUUAUUUUCGGAUAUGUCCACGCCAUGAUUGUCUUCGUCGUUCCAUCUUCUUCAUCACCAACUUCAUCAUCAUCAUCAUCGUCAUCAUCACCAUCACCAUCAUCAUCAUCACUAUCAGCUACAGUGACAUCUUCGUCAUCGUCCUCAUCGUCGUCAUCAUUAUGAACAAGCACUCGAUUAUGCUUCCACCUCUGCAA